GCAUGCUCAGUGGGCGGUGGCCGCGGGGGCGUUGCGGGACAUUCCCUCCCCACCCCCCGACUCCCUCCACAGGCCGCGGGGUGGCCACUGUCGUGGGCCGCGGGCCACUUGGGCUUUGUCCAGAGGGCUGCGCGGCCGGCGAGGCUGAAACCUUAGAAGGAACUGAACUCUAAUGACACCGAGGUGGGGGCGGGGAGGCGGCGACAGAGAAGGCACGGAGCCAAGGGAGGAGGGCAGCGGGAGCGAGCCCUGCACCCGCCGCCGCACCGCGGUGCACCACACAGGCGGGCCUCGGGGCUGAAGAGCUACCUGGGCGCCUGUGAAAAGACGAGUUCUGCACCCGGCUCCACUCCCCUCUUCCUGCCCGAUACUCCGUCGGUCCAGGAAUAGGCACUUUUGUUCCGCACCUGUGGGCAGUUCUGAUGCACGUUUUGAGGAAGUGCUAAAAUGUCAUUAGUAUGAGAAAGGCAAGUCCUAACUUUACCGACAUCCCUCCCCCAGGAGACUUCUUCAUUUGACUGGAAGGACCGCUUCAAUAAACUGCUUAGGCUGGAGGCUGUAACAUCCGCCUCUAAGGGAAAUUGGUUAUUAAGGGGGCUUCCAUGGUGGCUCAGAUAGUAUAGCGUCUGCCUGCAAUGCAGGAGACAUGGGUUAGAUCCCUGGGUUCGGAAUAUCCCCUGCAGAAGGAAAUGGCAACCCAUUCCAAUACUCUUGCCUGGAAAAUUCCAUGGACAGAGGAGCCUGGUGGGCUACAGUCUAUGGGGUCGCAAAGAGUCGGACACGACUGAGCGACUUCACUCACUUUGUUAUUGUCACAGCCAUCAGCAAUUUCUGACCUCCAAAUACGAAUCCCAAACUGCAAUCCUCUGGAUGUUGCUACCCCAACCCCGCCUUUGAUUGCUCAGGAGCUGGGGGAAAUGCAAGUUGACAGGUUGUGCACAGGGCUUGAUACAUUGAGCUGUGGACGUUUACCUGGCCAGAGGUGAAUUGCUUCUGCCUGAUGAAAGACAGCCCUGCCUGGAUCAGCACACACCUUUCCUCACUGUAAUUCCUGCUUUUUACUCUAAAGGAAGAACUGUCACACAACAUUUUAAAUCAACCAUACUCCAAU
ensembl:lncRNA